rnacentral:rRNA from 1 species
AUCAACGCUGGCGGCGUGCCUCAGACAUGCAGGUCGAACGCGAAAGUCUCCUUCGGGAGACGAGUAGAGUGGCGCACGGGUGAGUAACACGUAGGUUAUCUACCUCCGAGUGGGGAAUAACAGCCGGAAACGGCUGCUAAUACCGCAUAAUACCGAAAGGUCAAAGCUUUAUGUGCUUGGAGAGGAGCCUGCGGCAGAUUAGCUAGUUGGUAAGGUAAUGGCUUACCAAGGCGACGAUCUGUAUCCGGUCUAAGAGGACGGUCGGACACACUGACACUGAAUAACGGGUCAGACUCCUACGGGAGGGCAGCAGUCGGGAAUUUUGGGUCAAUGGGCGAAAGCCUGACCCAGCAACGCCGCGUGAAGGAUGAAAUCCCUCGGGAUGUAAACUUCGCAAGAAUAGGAAGAAUAAGGAGGGGUUAAUAACCCUUUUGAUGACGUACUAUUUGUAAGCUCCGGCUAACUCCGUGCCAGCAGCCGCUGUAAC